AUUGAACGCUGGCGGCAGGCCUAACACAUGCAAGUCGAACGAGUGGCGGACGGGUGAGUAAUGUCUGGGAAACUGCCUGAUGGAGGGGGAUAACUACUGGAAACGGUAGCUAAUACCGCAUACCAUCAGAUGUGCCCAGAUGGGAUUAGCUAGUUGGUGGGGUAAAGGCUCACCAAGGCGACGAUCCCUAGCUGGUCUGAGAGGAUGACCAGCCACAAUGGAAAUGAGACACGGUCCAGAAUCCUACGGGAGGCAGAAUUGGGGAAUAUUGCACAAUGGGCGCAAGCCUGAUGCAGCCAUGCCGCGUGGAUGAAGAAGGGCUUCGGGUUGUAAAGUAAUUUCAGCGGGGAGGCGUUACCCGCAGAAGAAGCACCGGCUAACUCCGUGCCAGGCGGCGCGGUAAUUC
rnacentral:rRNA from 1 species